UACGAAGGGGGCGAGCGUUGUUCGGAAUUAUUGGGCGUAAAGAGCUCGUAGGCGGUGUGUCGCGUCGGCCGUGAAAACCUGCAGCUUAACUGUGGGCUUGCGGUCGAUACGGGCAUCACUGGAGUUCGGCAGGGGAGACUGGAAUUCCUGGUGUAGCGGUGAAAUGCGCAGAUAUCAGGAGGAACACCGGUGGCGAAGGCGGGUCUCUGGGCCGAUACUGACGCUGAGGAGCGAAAGCGUGGGGAGCGAACAGG
rnacentral:rRNA from 1 species